rnacentral:sRNA from 1 species
AGGGCUCAUCGGCGUAGUUUACAACUCG